CCAGUGGGAAAUAGUUAAAUUGCAUAAAAAUGGGAUAUAUACAACUUUUUCGCUCCUCCCUACAAAUCCAAAUUCAAUAUCUCUUUGAUGAUCCACGUGGACACUGUUAUAUAGUUUCCUGAACAGUGGCAGAUCCAGAGCCUGAUCUCGGGAGGGGCACUUGUAGAUUAUUUAAAUUUAAUCCAGACACAAUAACCACUACAGCUCAGUGUAGUGGUUAUGAUGUCAAUAGUGCCG